rnacentral:rRNA from 1 species
CGCGAAUCGCCCUUGGGUGCCCAGGCGCGAAAACUUUACAAUGCUGGCAACAGCGAUAAGGGGACCUCGAGUGCCAGGAUACAAUCUUGGCUGUCGCGAUGCCUAAAAAGCAUUGCAUAGCAAGGGCCGGGCAAGACCGGUGCCAGCCGCCGCGGUAACACCGGCGGCUCGAGUGGUAACCGCUAUUAUUGGGUCUAAAGGGUCUGUAGCCGGCCGGAUAAGUCUUUUGGGAAAUCCAGCUGCUCAACAGUUGGGCUUUCAGAAGAUACUGUUCGGCUCGAGACCGGGAGAGGUGAGAGGUACUUCAGGGGUAGGGGUGAAAUCUUGUAAUCCUUGAAGGACCACCAGUGGCGAAGGCGUCUCACCAGAACGGAUCUGACGGCAAGGGACGAAAGCUAGGGGCACGAACCGGAUUAGAUACCCGGGUAGUCCUAGCCGUAAACGAUACUCGCUAGGUGUCAGCCACGGUGCGACCGUGGUUGGUGCCGUAGGGAAGCCGUGAAGCGAGCCACCUGGGAAGUACGGCCGCAAGGCUGAAACUUAAAGGAAUUGGCGGGGGAGCAC